rnacentral:rRNA from 1 species
CACGUAGGGGCCAAGCGUUGUCCGGAUUUAUUGGGCGUAAAGAGCUCGUAGGCGGCUCGGUAAGUCGGGUGUGAAACCUCCAGGCUCAACCUGGAGACGCCACCCGAUACUGCUGUGGCUAGAGUCCGGUAGGGGAGCGUGGAAUUCCUGGUGUAGCGGUGAAAUGCGCAGAUAUCAGGAGGAACACCUGCGGUGUAGACGGCUUACUGGACCAUCACUGACGCUGAGGCACGAAAGCGUGGGUAGCAAACAGG